UUUCCGUAGGUGAACCUGCGGAAGGAUCAUUAAUGAGUUGUCAUGGGGUUCGAUGCUGGCAGCCAGUUUUUGGAUGCAUGUGCUUGCCCUAACCAUCAUCUUCUUCCAAACACCUGUGCACAUUUUUGAGGGAGUCUUGAGUUGGUUGCCGCUCUUGGGUGAUUUUCUCACAUUCCCUUAAAUCAUUAUACGCUAUUAACAAUGUUGAACGUGCUCUGUGCCGCAAGGCCAUUAAUAUAAUACAACUUUUAACAACGGAUCUCUUGGCUCUC
rnacentral:misc_RNA from 1 species